UACGGAGGGUGCAAGCGUUAUCCGGAUUUACUGGGUUUAAAGGGUGUGUAGGCGGGCUGUUAAGUCAGUGGUGAAAGCCCAUCGCUCAACGGUGGAACGGCCAUUGAUACUGCAAGACUUGAAUUAUUGGGAAGCAACUAGAAUAUGUAGUGUAGCGGUGAAAUGCUUAGAUAUUACAUGGAAUACCAAUUGCGAAGGCAGGUUGCUACCAAUACAUUGACGCUGAUGGACGAAAGCGUGGGGAGCGAACAGG
rnacentral:rRNA from 1 species